CAUAAAGAUUUAGAGCGGGUCAACCAGGUCAUUACAUCUUAAUAACAAGCAUUACUGUAGAAUGAUUGUGUGUAGAUACCCGUUAGCCAUUAGGGUGUGUUUUUUUAACCCAUUGUGUGCGUGGGUAGGAUUAGAAAGGUGAACUGUUCAGAAAUUGUCUGAACUGAUUGUGGCGACGAGUGCUGCUCUGGCAUUCAUCCAGGAACUAUUAGCAGGAGCGGCACCGCCCAUCUAACAUGAGCAUAGGUGCUUCAUAACAAACAUUACUAGCAUGUUCAACUGCAUAAUGUUCUGGCACUGUAUUUUGAAUGAUAUUAAUUUAUUAAAUACAUGUAUAUAUCCAAAAUAAAAAAAUAAAAA